AGUUAAUUAGCUUAUAAAUAAAGCAUUUACUUUGAAAGUAAGGAAAAGAAUUUAUUCUAUUAACUU
rnacentral:tRNA from 2 species